rnacentral:rRNA from 1 species
UACAGAGGGUGCGAGCGUUGUCCGGAAUCACUGGGCGUAAAGGGCGCGUAGGCGGCCUGAUAAGUAGGGGGUGAAAUCUUGCGGCUCAACCGCAAGGCUGCCUUCUAAACUGUCAGGCUGGAGCACGGUAGAGGCAGAUGGAAUUCCCGGUGUAGCGGUGGAAUGCGUAGAGAUCGGGAAGAACACCAGUGGCGAAGGCGGUCUGCUGGGCCAUUGCUGACGCUGAGGCGCGACAGCGUGGGGAGCAAACAGG